GACGAACGCUGGCGGCAGGCUUAACACAUGCAAGUCGAGCGGGGAAAUAUAGCUUGCUAUAUGACCUAGCGGCGGACGGGUGAGUAAUGCUUAGGAAUCUGCCUAUUAGUGGGGGACAACAUUUCGAAAGGGAUGCUAAUACCGCAUACGCCCUACGGGGGAAAGCAGGGGAUCUUCGGACCUUGCGCUAAUAGAUGAGCCUAAGUCGGAUUAGCUAGUUGGUGGGGUAAAGGCCUACCAAGGCGACGAUCUGUAGCGGGUCUGAGAGGAUGAUCCGCCACACUGGGACUAAGACACGGCCCAGACUCCUACGGGAGGCAGCAGUGGGGAAUAUUGGACAAUGGGGGGAACCCUGAUCCAGCCAUGCCGCGUGUGUGAAGAAGGCCUUUUGGUUGUAAAGCACUUUAAGCGAGGAGGAGGCUCCUGUAGAUAAUACCUACAGUGAGUGGACGUUACUCGCAGAAUAAGCACCGGCUAACUCUGUGCCAGCAGCCGCGGUAAAAC
rnacentral:rRNA from 1 species